rnacentral:rRNA from 1 species
UACAGAGGUGACUAACGUUGUCCGGAAUUAUUGGGCGUAAAGGGCGCGUAGGCGGUUGAGUAAGUCAGGUGUGAAAGCUCUGGGCUUAACCCAGGAAUUGCGUCUGAUACUGCUCGGCUUGAGUACGGUAGAGGAGGGUGGAAUUCCCAGUGUAGCGGUGAAAUGCGUAGAGAUGCGGAGGAACACCGAUGGCGAAGGCAGCCCCCUGGGCUAGCACUGACGCUCAGGCACGAAAGCGUGGGGAGCAAACAGG